rnacentral:rRNA from 1 species
AGAGUUUGAUCCUGGCUCAGAAUGAACGCUGGCGGCGUGCUUAACACAUGCAAGUCGUACGAGAACUCUUCUGCUUGCAGAAGAUAGUAAAGUGGCGCACGGGUGAGUAACGCGUGGGUAAUCUACCUCUAACUCGGGGAUAACAUCGCGAAAGUGAUGCUAAUACCGGAUGAUAUCUAAUUUGCUUCGGCAGUUUAGGUCAAGGGUGGCCUCUAUAUAUAAGCUACUGAUUGGAGAUGAGCCCGCGUACCAUUAGCUUGUUGGUAGGGUAAUGGCCUACCAAGGCUUCGAUGGUUAGCUGGUCUGAGAGGAUGAUCAGCCACACUGGAACUGACACACGGUCCAGACUCCUACGGGAGGCAGCAGUGAGGAAUUUUGCGCAAUGGGGGAAACCCUGACGCAGCAACGCCGCGUGAGUGAUGAAGGCCCUCGGGUCGUAAAGCUCUGUCGAGUGGGAAGAACUUGAUGGAUGAUAAUACCAUCCUUCACUGACGGUACCACUAAAGGAAGCACCGGCUAACUCCGUGCCAGCAGCCGCGGUAAUACGGAGGGUGCAAGCGUUAUUCGGAUUUAUUGGGCGUAAAGGGCGCGUAGGCGGUCUCUUAAGUCAGAUGUGAAAGCCCGGGGCUUAACCUCGGAAGUGCAUUUGAAACUAAGGGACUUGAGUAUGGG